AAAAAUUAGAUUUAAAAUAUUUAAGUAGUAAUAGUUAAGUUCUUGAAAUUUAAAAAAUUUGGCGGUAUUUUAGUCUAUUCAGAGGAACCUGUUUAGUAAUCGAUAGUCCACGUUGGACCUUACUUAGACUUGUAAAUUAGUUUAUAUAUCGUUGUUUAUAGAAUAUUUUAUAAAAAAAAUAAUUUUCAAUAUUUUUUAUUAAAAUGUAUAUCAGAUCAAGAUGUAGCUAAUGUUUAAGGUUAAAAUGGGUUACAAUUAUUUUAAGUAUUGAAUGUUGGUUUGUAAUAACUUAUUGAAAUUGGAUUUGAUAGUAAAGUUAUAAAGAUAAAUAAUUUGAUUUUAGCUCU
rnacentral:rRNA from 1 species